rnacentral:rRNA from 1 species
AGUGAACGCUGGCGGUAGGCCUAACACAUGCAAGUCGAACGGCAGCACAGUAAGAGCUUGCUCUUACGGGUGGCGAGUGGCGGACGGGUGAGGAAUACAUCGGAAUCUACUUUUUCGUGGGGGAUAACGUAGGGAAACUUACGCUAAUACCGCAUACGACCUACGGGUGAAAGCAGGGGAUCUUCGGACCUUGCGCGAUUGAAUGAGCCGAUGUCGGAUUAGCUAGUUGGCGGGGUAAAGGCCCACCAAGGCGACGAUCCGUAGCUGGUCUGAGAGGAUGGUCGGCCACACUGGAACUGAGACACGGUCCAGACUCCUACGGGAGGGCGCAGUGGGGAAUAUUGGACAAUGGGCGCAAGCCUGAUCCAGCCAUACCGCGUGGGUGAAGAAGGCCUUCGGGUUGUAAAGCCCUUUUGUUGGGAAAGAAAAGCAGCAGGUUAAUACCCCGCUGUUCUGACGGUACCCAAAGAAUAAGCACCGGCUAACUUCGUG